UCUUACUUCAUGUUGACAUACCCACGCAAUGAAAAGUAUUGACUCUCUUGUAGAGUUAGAAAAAAGAUUACUCGACAUGCAUGUUAGGUAUCUGUACAUAUCGUUUUUGUUCAUUUUAAUAUAACAUUUUUGCAGAAGAGUUAUACCUGUUCUCUUUUUUCAGAGUAUCACCGUUGGCUUCUAUCAAUGAAGAUGCAGCUUUUUCUGGAUGAAAAAUGAUACCAACGUUUGAUGAAGAACAUGGACAAGCAGUUUUAGUUUUUGAGCUUCUAACAUGCAAUUUAUAACUUGUUCCCCC
rnacentral:lncRNA from 1 species